rnacentral:rRNA from 1 species
GAUGAACGCUGGCGGCGUGCCUAAUACAUGCAAGUAGAACGCUGAAGGAAGGAGCUUGCUCUUUCCGGGUGAGUUGAGAACGGGUGAGUAACGCGUAGGUAACCUGCCUGGUAGCGGGGGAUAACUAUUGGAAACGAUAGCUAAUACCGCAUAACAGUAGGUGUUGCAUGAUAUCUACUUAAAAGGUGCAAUUGCACCACUAACAGAUGGACCUGCGUUGUAUUAGUUAGUUGGUGAGGUAACGGGUCACCAAGGCGACGAGACAUAGCCGACGUGAGCGGGUGAUCGGCCACACGGGGACGGAGACACGGCCCAUACUCCUACGGGAGGCAGCAGUAGGGAAUCUGCGGCAAUAGACGGGAGUCUGACCGAGUAACGGCGCGUGAGUGAAGAAGGUUUUCGGAGCGUAAAGCUCGGUUGUAAGAGAAGAACGGGUUUGGGAGUGGAAAGUGCACACUGUGACGUAAUCGGACCAGAAAGAGACGGCUAACUACUG